AAGAAUAUCGUGAAAGGAACUCAGUUGAAACAAGAUGGCCGCCGUCCACGUGCCGCGAGAAUUCGCCCAUUCAUAAUACCGGCGUCGCGAUGAAUGUUUGAUACGUCGAUUUUUCGGCGUGGACGUUUCGUCGUCGUGCAACGUAGACGUCGUCGCGACGGCAUGCGCCGCUCCUUGAAUGCCGACCGUGGUAAUAAUUAAUGGGGAAAGUGAGUGAGCCGCUUCUUGGAGGAAGCAUUGUGCCAGGACUGAAUUAAACAUUGGCUCUCGACAGUGAAGCUGUGAGCCUCUUGGCGAUGUCGUGACUAGGAACUAUAGAGGUUAGGACACAGGCUGCAGAAAGGCUGGAUGCUAGAGAGGAAAGAACGAAGAGGCGGAAAGAAAAAGAAACAACAGAUAAUCAUCCUUACCCGCCUACGCGUGCUAUGCAUUUUUUCUAUCCUACCGGUACUACGUCUGGUAGCAAUGAAUGUCUAUUCGUUGUUGUACUGUUUGAAGUAGCACAAUGAUGAAAAGUGAAGAGAUGGUAGACGCGUGUUCGGUGCACGUAUGGCCUGGCAAUUCCGUGACUGUGCAGGGAUCGACGAGUCGGAUGUGAUUUUCUCCCAAAUUGGUAGGACGCUAUAAAUUAAUGUCGCAGAUCCUACCAAGGUAUACAUGGGAACACGGCACUAUGCUCUUCGAAGAUGCCGCCGGACUCCAUUGUCUAUUUAAAAUAGUUUUCAUUCCUGCGCGCCGCGACGACUGGUUCUCGAAAAUAAAACGAUCCUACAACCACGGCGCGUUCCAGUCAAUAAAGUUAAUCCGAACUGGCCGGUUGUUUAUUGUUAAUGAGGCAAUUAAUUUUUAUGAACUCGCACCGCGCUACGCCGCUGCGAUAAAUUCGCGGAAAUAACACGCAGGCUAAUGCACCUCGUUCUCUAUUUAUAAAGAUAAAUUGAUAUCGAAGUGUAUACGUCUGCUUAUCACCCAGCCAAUUAUACGUACUACCGUUUGAUCGUUAAAACUGUAACAAAAUAUCAUAAAUAAGAAUUACGUUAUUAUUUUCAUGA